GGGUGUGAUCAUUACCAGCGUUAAUGCACUGGAUCCCAUUGGAACUCCGUAGUUAAGUGAGCUUAGGCUAGAAUAGUACUGGAAUGGGUGACCUCCUGGGAAGUCCUAGUGUUGCACCCU
rnacentral:rRNA from 1 species